rnacentral:rRNA from 1 species
AACAAUUGGAAACGAAUGCUAAUACCCCAUAUGCUUUCGAGUGAAAUGGAUUUAUAUUUAUUCGCCUAGAGAGAAGCUCGCGGCUGAUUAGCUUGUUGGUAAGGUAAGAGCUUACCAAGGCGACGAUCAGUAUCUGGUUUGAGAGGACGAUCAGACACACUGGAACUGAGACACGGUCCAGACUCCUACGGGAGGCAGCAGUGGGGAAUUUUCCGCAAUGGGCGAAAGCCUGACGGAGCAAUACAGCGUGAGGGAAGACUGCCUAUGGGUUGUAAACCUCUUUUUUCAGGGAGGAAUAAAUGACGUGUACCUGAAGAAUAAGCAUCGG